GGGUGAUUAGCUCAGUUGGCUAGAGCAUCACGUUUACACCGUGAGGGUCCCAGGUUCGAGUCCUGGAUCACCCACCA
rnacentral:tRNA from 2 species